UGUGGGAGGGGGCUUGCUCCCGAUAUAGGUGUGUCAGUCUAUGCAGCUGUGACUGAACUACCGCCAUCGGGAGCAAGCCCCCUCCCACA
rnacentral:misc_RNA from 1 species